rnacentral:lncRNA from 1 species
GCAUGGGUUCUAGGAGGGUCGAGGCAGGAGGAUGGACACAGUGACGUCAUGCUGCUACUCACCCUGGGAUUUGGAAUCAGCCUCCCACCACCCUUUGUACCUAAGCCUGGUCUCCCUUCGUGGGCAAUAAGGGACUUGGAUCUUGAUAUAUGUUUUUAUUUGAUUAGGUAAUGGUGUUCAGAGCAUUGAUUUUCACUUCAUGGGUUGAGAAGGUGAAAAAGAGACUGAAAGGCCUAUAGUUCUAGAACAGAACUGGAAUCAGAAUCAAGCCUGCUAAACCUACCUGGCUUGUUUCUCUUCUCCUCGGCCUCCUCCUGCUUCCUCUCACCUGAGCUCAUCCCACUCUCUUCUGCCCUCUCUCAUCUUCCAUCUUACAAUAGUCUUCCUCUUUUCUCUCACAUGACUAAAAACCUGGCCACUAGAAGAUUCUGUGUGUUCUAUGUGUUUUCCAUGUCAGCCUGCUGUGAUAAAUGGAUUUUUGUUCUCAGUUCCAGACUUCUGCCGAAGCAAAUCUCCCUGGAUUUUGCUGCUUCUACCCAGGUCUUUCCUGGUCCUUGUGGCCAUGACAAUGGGAUUGUCAUCCUGGUGAGGAGAGAACAGAGCCCCAGCGAGCUGCUUCUUGCCGAGGCCAUUUUGCCCCCAUGCAGGUUCAGGUAGGAAGUGGUCUGGGAGCUGGUGCAGGCAAGUUGUUGUGAGGACCCUCUAUCUUAAGUAAAUGCAUCCUGUCGGUACGUGAAUUCCUUAAUUUCUCUUGUUUAGUCUGCCGUUGCCCUUGUGGUUGUUCUAAUAUCAGUGAUUAAGAGAAGAAUCAUUCAUCACCCCAAGCACACACUAUCUGUUUCCAAGUGGGAGAGCCUUGGCUGAUUCACUUCCCUGGACAGCGCUUUGUGCUUUCUCCUUCCACUCUGUUGUCCCUCUCUUUACUGGGUUGCUAUUAUUUCCACCAACAGAGCCCUGUGGUCGAGUCCCAAACCCCCACCACUGUGGAAGACCCAGAUUUCCUCCAGGGCUGUUUGGGAAACACACGUGAGCACAAUUCACCCAGCUGUUGGUUGCCAGCGGCAAAUCCUCCAAAGCAGCCCUGCGCAGAGCAGGAGCUGGGCUGGGGGUGGAGGUGUGAGAGGUGAGCCUGGCAGGCUUCAAUUACGUUGCUAAGUUCUGAGUUGCUAGUUUCCUGAAUGGCUGUGUCAGCUCACCCUGGAAACAGUCACUUUCCUGGC